rnacentral:rRNA from 1 species
GUCGAACGACAUAGUGGCAGACGGGUGAGUAACGCGUGGGAACGUACCUUUCGCUACGGAAUAGCUCUUGGAAACGAGUGGUAAUACCGUAUACGCCCUCCGGGGGAAAGAUUUAUCGGCGAAAGAUCGGCCCGCGUUAGAUUAGGUAGUUGGUGGGGUAAUGGCCUACCAAGCCUACGAUCUAUAGCUGGUCUGAGAGGAUGAUCAGCCACACUGGGACUGAGACACGGCCCAGACUCCUACGGGAGGCAGCAGUGGGGAAUCUUGCACAAUGGGCGAAAGCCUGAUGCAGCCAUGCCGCGUGAAUGAUGAAGGCCUUAGGGUUGUAAAAUUCUUUCGCCAGGGAUGAUAAUGACAGUACCUGGUAAAGAAGCCCCGGCUAACUUCGUGCCAGCAGCCGCGGUAAUACGAAGGGGGCUAGCGUUGUUCGGAAUUACUGGGCGUAAAGCGCACGUAGGCGGACUUUUAAGUCAGAUGUGAAAUCCCGGGGCUCAACCUCGGAACUGCAUUUGAAACUGGAAGUCUGGAGUUCAGGAGAGGUUAGCGGAAUACCGAGUGUAGAGGUGAAAUUCGUAGAUAUUCGGUGGAACACCAGUGGCGAAGGCGGCUAACUGGACUGAUACUGACGCUGAGGUGCGAAAGUGUGG